rnacentral:rRNA from 1 species
UACGUAGGGGGCAAGCGUUGUCCGGAAUCAUUGGGCGUAAAGCGCGUGUAGGCGGCCCGGUAAGUCCGCUGUGAAAGUCCAGGGCUCAACCCUGGGAUGCCGGUGGAUACUGUCGGGCUCGAGUCCGGAAGAGGCGAGUGGAAUCCUGGUGUAGCGGUGAAAUGCGCAGAUAUCAGGAGGAACACCAAUGGCGAAGGCAGCUCGCUGGGACGUGACUGACGCUGAGACGCGAAAGCGUGGGGAGCAAACAGG